GAUGAACGCUGGCGGCGUGCUUAACACAUGCAAGUCGAACGGGAUCCCAGGAGCGUUUUUCGUUUUUUGGUGAGAGUGGCGAACGGGUGAGUAACACGUGAGUAACCUGUCCUUUUCUUUGGGAUAAGCUCCUGAAAGGGUGUUUAAUACCUUAUGUUCUGUCUGCCUCGCAUGGGGGGGGUGGGAAAGAUUUUUUCGGUGAAGGGUGGGCUCGCGGUCUAUCAGCUUGUUGGUGGGGUGAUGGCUUACCAAGGCUUUGACGGGUAGCCGGCCUGAGCGGGUUGUCGGUCAGAUUGGGACUGGGGUGCGGCCGAGACGCCUGCGGGAGGCAGCGGUGGGAGAUGUGGCGAAUGGGGCGCAAGCGUGAUGAGGCGGCGCCGCGAGGGGGGGGAAGGCGGUGGGGUUGUAUGCUUCGUUGGCUGGUAACAAGGCGGAUCUUUGGGGUGUGUAGAGAGUGGGGAUUGAUGCGCGCCGGCAAACUACG
rnacentral:rRNA from 1 species